rnacentral:lncRNA from 1 species
UUUUUUUUUUUUUUUUUUGGGUAAUAAAAGAUUGCAUAAAUAAAAAUUUUAAGUCCGUACAUCACAUAUUUGUUUGGGAUGGAAGGACCCCUUAAAUCACCACACAAAAUAGUUCGUAGCUGAGGAGGACAGUUAUGAUAAGAGUGAAAAAGUCGACAAAAAGAUUUCCAUCCUCAAAUCAUCACAGCCGUUGCAUUUUGCAUCAUUUUGACCUUUCUUCCUCAGCUCAACUGCACGAAGAACGAAUGAGCAUUGUAUUUGACGAUAGCCAUCUUAUUUUACCGGUUAAAGAGUCAAAGAACAAAAAAUAAUAAUAAUAUAAUAAUAAAAGACAGAGCAAGGCAAACACUUGUCGAGUUUUAAAGGUGUUGAAGGCUUGUUUGGGGAGUUAUUAGUGUCAAAAGCUCUUAUUAUUAUUCAGUACUAAUACACAAAGGAUGGUCCUCGAUCUUGGUUUUAAAAUUUCUCAUACAAAUUCUAUUAAUCUUUUUUUCUUGUGCACCAAUUUUAAAAGUAUCUGUUGGUGUACAUUAUUACCUUACUCUUGGAAGCCCAUGCGCAUAAAAAAAAAAAAAAAUUUUUUUUUUUUGGAGCUCAGGCGUUCAACAGUAUCCUCGAAAGAAUUGAUUGUAUAAGAUCAGUAUUUUUGGAGUAGUACUUACGUAGACGAGAUAUAACCAGCAGAGCAGAGAAGAAACCAAAUAAAUAAGAUAAAGAAAUGAUAUAUAUAUAUAUAUAUAUAUGCAGAUAACGUUUCAGUAAUAGAAGGAUUUGAUUUAUUAAACGAUCACAAGAAAAAUUAACGUUAGAGAGUGAAAAUAUCAAGGCAACUAACGAGGUUGAUAAUUCCAUGUGCACUAGAUUCAUGAUUCUCGCAAGACAUAUUGGAAAAGGACGAGAGGGCACUGAUCGAUCGAUCGAGGAUGUUAAAUAGAAGCUAGCAAUUCCGAAAGAGAAGGCCUAUAAUGAUGAGAAGCGUCUGUCAAAUGAGCAAGGACGACUUGCCACCAUAUCAAAAUCAGAAAGGCUUUGAACGUACGCAGGCAGUAGGAGGCAAGUCAUCCUUGUUGGCGAUGAAACCAGAGUCUCCUCCCCAUUUUAGGCCAAUCAGAGUCUUUCUACCAAAAUGUUGAUCCAAUUAAGCCAGAAGAAGUACGUCUAUUUUCUGAACGCAAUUGAUCGAAUUGCUCAAUAUUCAAGACUGUACCUGAGGAGGCGAUUUUUGGUUGGUAACUAGACCGACCUGGAUCAGUCCUCUCUGAGAUGAAGUGAGGUGAACUCCUGUGUCCGAAGUGAACCUCCUUGUCCGAAGUGAGUGGCGGGGCUUCUCCCCUGGUAUCACUCCGACGAUCAAGUUAGUAUGAGAACGAGAAUAAUGAGAAUGAGUUAAUGAACAGUGUAUGCUUACUUGUUGGGAGUGUGAGUGAGGUAUUUAUAGAAGAGAGGUGGUCAAGACGGAAGGCUCAUGCUAGCGGGACCCACUCUCUGGCAUUACGGCUCUGUCUCCUGUCAGGAGGUCUGACUCUGACACUGUAGCCGCCUGGGAGUGAUGACGGAGGAUAUGGUGCAGGUGCCAUUAAGUGCCUCCAGUGCUUUUCAGAUAAAGUGCUGGUCCUGGAUGAUGUCAGGUGGGUUGACAUCAUCAGCGUGCAGCCGAGGUGGAUGUGCCGAGGUCACCUACACGAUGGACUAGGGAUGAAGCCGAGCUCUGGGGUUGUGCUCAAGACAGGGAUGAGCUCCGAUGAGGGACGAGACUUGUGUUCACCUCGGACACCCGCGUGUCCGAGGUGAGCAUCCUCAAUAAGCCCCCCAAGCCUCGGGAGCUUCGGGCCAGGGAGGUACCGAGACUUCCUUCUGCCGAAGUCGUGAAGAGUCAGUGUCCCGAGCCUGCUCCGGAAGGUGCGGGGACGUGACACGUGGGCAUGUCAGUUGAAGGGACCUGGAGAGUGAGUCGGCACGUAACCGUCACGUCGUGAAGUAGUGGGACGUUUCGUGCAGAGAGUGUCAGUUACAACGAGGACUCCAAGGAGUUGUGUGACCGGAUGGCUGAGGACCUCCAAGCUGGAAGGAACCUGGCCGAGGUCCUGGCCGAGUUCAACAAAUGGCUGUCCGAACUCGACGAAGUGUUCGAGGAGGUUGAAGAGGAAGAAACUGGAAGAGAGGAUGCCGAGGGAGACGAAGCCGGAGGGGGCGAAGCCGGAGGGGACGUCGGCAAAGAGCCUGGAGAUGAAGUUCACCCCGGCGGAAAGGAGACCGAAGAGAAAGAUGCCCAGGAGGGAGCCAAGACCGGGAUUGGAGCCGAUACGGGGAUGUAGGCUCGUAGGCUCUAAAGGGGUGGCCGAGGUGAAGAGUGUUUAGUAGCACUCUGACCUCGGCCUUGUAUUUUUUUUAACACUUCUGUUGAAUGAAAGUCUAUUUCUUCUCAUCUCAGCUCUUUAAUUUCUUGCUUUGCUUUGACUUCAUCCCUUGCUUGUCCCCCUUAUUUUUUGAUAGCGUAAUAACCCUAUUGUUCUCAGGUCGUUAGCCGAGGUGGUAAAACGGGCAGAUACCACCUUGAUUUAUAAUGGGCCGAGGUGGCCUUUCGGGAGGUGCCACUGAGUAAGGCCGAGGUGGCCCUGCGGGAGGUGCCGCUGAUUAAGGCCUAAGUGGCCCUGCGGGAGGUGCCACUGAGGAAGGCCUGCCACUGAUUAAGGCCGAGGUGGCCCUUCGGGAGGUGCCUGAGUAAGGCCGAGGUGGUAAAACGGGCAGAUACCACCUUGAUUUAUAAUGGGCCGAGGUGGCCUUUCGGGAGGUGCCACUGAGUAAGGCCGAGGUGGCCCUGCGGGAGGUGCCGCUGAUUAAGGCCUAAGUGGCCCUGCGGGAGGUGCCACUGAGGAAGGCCUGCCACUGAUUAAGGCCGAGGUGGCCCUUCGGGAGGUGCCGCUGAAUAAGGCCUAAGUGGCCCUGCGGGAGGUGCCACUGAUUAAGGCCGAGGUGGCCCUUCGGGAGGUGCCACUGAGGAAGGCCUGCCACUGAUUAAGGCCGAAGUGGCCCUUCGGGAGGUGCCGCUGAGUAAGGCCUAAGUGGCCCUGCGGGAGGUGCCGCUGAGGAAGGCCGAGGUCGGCCCCUGCGGCUCAGCUCGGCUGACUGAAUUUUUCCUCAGAACCAAGUCUCCAGGCUGGAAUUGAGCGGUGUCAGCUCAGCGUCCGAGGUGGACGAUCUUCCUUUCACUAUUCGAUCGAAAAUACUCCGGCGGUCCCGGAGUUGGGUUGAAGUGCCACUUGGGCCGGGUUCACCUCGGCCGAUGUCUCUCCUCCGGGGAUCUGGCCCCGUACGAGAUGCUUGGGCUUCUCGCUUCAUGCGAUUCACAUCUUCACUUCGGAUUCCCUGAUCCACUCUUUCCCAGAGUUCGUGAAGUGUACGGGGGUAAUCCCGAUGAAUUUCGGUGUUGAAAAGUCCGGCCACCAACCCGUUGGUAAAGGCCGCGAGAGUUACCUGCUCAUUCUGAUCAGGUAUUUGCACAUUCUCCUCGUUGAACCUCUGAGCAUACGAGCGAAGAGACUCGCCCUGACCCUGUUGAAGGUUCAAGAGAUAAACUGAAGUCUUCGUGAUUGGUCGAGACGACACGAAGCGGUGGAUGAACCGGUCUAUCAGCUCAUCCAGGGAGGAAAUGCUCCCCGGUUCCAAACUCCAGAACCACUUCCGGGCAGUCCCAUGUAGGAAAAUGGGGAAAGCCCGACAAAUCACGGCGUCGGGGACACAGUAGAGUCGGAAUGCGGAGAUGAAGGCGCGGAGGUGAUCCUCGGGGUCACCUCGGCCGUCAUAGGUGGGCAAGUUUGGGAGCUUGAAAUUCGGGGGCACCCUUUCCCCAUUGAUGUCAUCCGUAAAGGGCGGAGCCCUCAUGUAGUCCGAAGCCAGUCCCCCGGGGCGCCGAGGUAGGCCCUCAGCUCGCUUCCCUAGCAGUCCCCGGGAAAACGCCCGGGAGAUGGAGGCUAGCUUAGAAGUCGCCUUGGAGGAGGCACGCCUGGAGGUACUCCGAGAGAGACGCCCCUCAUCGGAGUCUUCACCUGAAGGUGCCUCAGGGGACUUCGUCGGCCUCCUCUUGGAAGACUCGGCCUUUUCUUUCCCCUGUCUUUUGAGGUACCUUCCUAGCUCCUCAAAAAUGGUUGGGUUGUGUGAUACGAACUCGGCCAUCUUGGCGAUGGCCUCCUCGUUGUUAGGCUGGGUCCUUGGGGACCCUUGCUCUUCAGAGAUGCGAUCUUGCUGGGCUCCCGAGGUCUGCCCAGCCCCAGUUGAGGGAACUCGACCACUUCUGGAGCGCGUGGAUCUCAUUUUAGUAAUAGUAGUCUCGUUCCCACAGACGGCGCCAAUUGAGGAGGUGAUUUUUGGUUGGUAACUAGACCGACCUGGAUCAGUUCUUUUUGAGAUGAAGUGAGGUGAACUCCUGUGUCCGAAGUGAACCUCCUUGUCCGAAGUGAGUGGCGGGGCUUCUCCCCUGGUAUCACUCCGACGAUCAAGUUAGUAUGAGAACGAGAAUAAUGAGAAUGAAUUAAUGAACAGUGUAUGCUUACUUGUUGGGAGCGUGUCUGGGGUAUUUAUAGAAGAGAGGUGAUCAAUACGGAAGGCUCAUGCUAGCGGGACCCACUCUCUGGCAUUACGGCUCUGUCUCCUGCCAGGAGGUCUGACUCUGACACUGUAGCCGCCUGGGAGUGAUGACGGAGGAUAUGGUGCAGGUGCCAUUAAGUGCCUCCAGUGCUUUUCAGAUAAAGUGCUGGUCCUGGAUGAUGUCAGGUGGGUUGACAUCAUCAGCGUGCAGCCGAGGUGGAUGUGCCGAGGUCACCUACACGGUGGACUAGGGAUGAAGCCGAGCUCUGGGGUUGUGCUCAAGACAGGGAUGAGCUCCGGUGAGGGACGAGACUUGUGUUCACCUCGGACACCCGCGUGUCCGAGGUGAGCAUCCUCAGUACCCUAAGAAGAAGACAAUAAAAAAAAAAAUGCAGGGCUUACGUGAAGCACAAGAGACAUAAAUUAACUAGUGGAGUGCUACGUAACUUGAAGCUGCAUGCCAAGCUACAGGUGAAGAGAGUGCUGCUUCAUGUGAGACCUCCCUUUCAAAUGGGAUUCCAUGAAAUUUUCUUGUGCUUCGAUGAUGAUCAGUUCAUUACAAGUUAUAUAUAUAUAUAGAGCUACAGAUCGAAAGGGAAGGUGGGGGUCGACGAUCUCGCAGUUUGAGCUCCCCUAACCGAGAUUUUCCUCAAUAAUUAUUAUCCAAUGAAAGAAUAUAUUCUACCUGUGCUACAGGAGAGGAGAGUAGGGGCCCCGACUUAUCUUCUUCAGUCUUCAUCUCUUACAACUUGAUACGAUGGGAGAACAGAAUUUCAACGUAAAGAUGCCCUUCGAUCACUUUCUUGCCUCUGCUGCCUCUCGUGAAACUUAGAUGUUGGCAACUUGCCCGGAAUCAAUUUCCCUACAAAUCAAAUGCUUAACAGAUUUGUUUCCCCCCCCCCCCCUUUUUUUUGUUGGAUUAAAGAGGAAAGUAAACGUUAUAAAGAGGAGUACAUAGUAACGCCACUGACACAACAUCUGCUAGGCGACUUAGAGUCAACAUUAAAAUUGUAAUCAACUCCCCAAUGUGCUAAGAAUCAGCACAAUCAAUCAACUCCCCAAGUGUUUUUACAAUAACAUCCCUAAAAAAAAUAUAUAUAUAUAUAUAUAUAUAUCCCCGAGUGCCAACUUUCACAUUUGAGUGACAUUUUUUCUUAAUAAGAAGAAAAACUACACUGAUAAUCAUAUGUAAAUUAUUUGCAAAUUCAAACUGAAAUUUCUUACGCCAAAAAAUUUAAAAAAAAACACUGAAAAUGCAGAAAUUUGUUAAUAGUAUACAUUCAUGUGAGUCUUGACAACAUUGCGUGUUAAUAUUAUCCAGAUUUUGGCUUUCAGAUAAUUUGUUCGUUUUUUUUUGUCAAAAAUAAAGAACAAAAGAAGGAAAAAGCAAAAUGUUAAUCAGUUUGUUCUCAUUUGCUAUAGUUAAAAGAUUAGACAACUGUUGUGGUUUUGGCGCGGUUGGUUCGAACUUUUCUUUCUUUCUCUUUUUUUUUUUUUUUCUUUUUCAUUAAAUUGAACAAACUUUUUUUUUUUCUUUCUAUAAGGGCCUUGCUGUAUGUUGUACACGAAAUUAAGGAACUAAAUUACUAGUAUUACUCAGUUUGUUUCGUUUAUCCUUAGUUGAGAUAUUCCUAGAUAGCAAAGUGAGGAGUAUUUUCAGUUGGAAAUCUAAAUUUUUUUUAACCCUCCCUACACCCUUUCCAUCCUUGCCACUACUACAGCUACCCAAAAUAUGAUCGAUCUUCUGAUCGAGAACACCAUUUCUUAUCAAGAUCGUUCUGAGUUCCCCUUGGUCUUCCUUGUACCAUUCUAAGAUGCAUCUACAUAUAUCUUAAUGUAUAAUUAGCAACAGCCUUCAAGACUUCAAUGGCUGAGUUGACAAAAGAUUGAAAGCUUGCUGCUUUUGUUGCCCUGCUGGUCUUCUAAGCUGGCCAGAAAGGGUGUCUUGACAAAAAUCAUCAAGAAGCCAGAAAAAAGUUCGUCAUCCCUUGGCAUAGCACCUCAUAAAUUAGUACACAAUGUCUGAAUUUUCUUCAGGCCUUAGGAGAGGAGUACUAAAAGCCAACCAAAAAGUCAUAAAUUUAACCGAUGGUUACUUGAUUCCUCGUCAGACUUACACAAGAGCAAUAGACGCUUUAUUGAUUUUCUCCGGGAAAACAGAUCACAUGUUUUUCAUGUUAUUCGAUUUGGAAUGAUAUUCCAUUAAGUCAGAGUUUGAGUCUUGCUGAUCAAAAUCGUCGACUAAGGUAUUUUUAAGGUUAUGGACAAGAAAAAAUACAGGCUAGUUUUUGCUUUGAUGUUGUAGAACUAAACUUGUACACUAGUUUUUCUUCAAGAAAGCCAAUGAGAUUAAAAUGGCACUGCCUUUAGAGAGAGUAACUAAGUACCAGGUUUCAGCAUUGUCAAGGAGUGAUGUACUGUUGUGACUAGAGCAUAUUUGUCUCUUUAGAGAAUAACAAGGAUUAAUUCCAUUUUGCAUCCUUCAACUAUACCCAAAUUCUUUAAAAAAAAAAAAAAAAGCCUAUACCCGAAUUCUUACUUUGAUACCUGAACUUCAAAUGGAAUGCUUUAGUCUCUAAAGUAUAAAAUUUGUCACAUUUUAGUUCAAAAGAAGAAAACCUAUCCUAUUUUAUUUCUUUAAAUACAAAGUCAGUCCACUUUAGUUCUUAAAUUAUAAAAUCUAUACAAUUAAAUAUAAAAUUUGUUCCAUUUCUCUCAACGAUUUUGCUUAAGUGGGACAAAUUUUAUGUUUUAGCGAUCAAGUUUUUAAUUUUAAAAUUUAGGGAUCGAUGUGUACAUCUCAUGUACUUGAGAGGUGGAAAGUGAAAUUAACCCAAAAAAAUAACGAUGCAAUCAUCAUCUGGCAAGUUGGUCGUGAGUACGUGACGUAGCGUUCAUAUAAAUAUGGUAACCUGAUUACAGCUAGUUCAGGAAGUCGCCCCAAAAAAGAAAAGAUGAACAAAUUAAUGAGCAUGUAUUUGAUAACUACAAGAAUCUGAUCCAAAGCGCAAAACAAAAUUACAGGUAGAGAAUGAAAACUUCCAUAUUUUAACUCAGCGCUCGAGAACUUUAUAUUCAUCGUUAAAGAAAAAACUUUAUAUUCAUCUAUCCAAAACCUAUAACAUCAAUGGAUUCUUUUUCUCUUAGUCCAGGAGGGGAUUACCGAAUCGGCUUGAUGGAGGGUGCCAGGUAGUAAAAAUUCUGAAAGAGAAUGCCAAGAAUGACGAGGAAAGCCUGUCAAGUAGCCCGGACGACUCGCCUGCAAAUCCAUUAAUGAAGAAUUUACACUUGUACAUGGAUGGAUCUUGAAGGAUGAAGAGGCAAGCCAUCCUUGGCUACGAAACAGGACUCUCAGCCCCAUUCCAGGCAUUUCUUUCUAUAAAAUGUUAACCUCGAAUUAUAUCGAAAAGGUAUACAAGUGCACUCUUGACUGAUAACGAUCCCGAUAACUCAACGGAAAAGGGGUCUUGCGUGAAGAAAAAGAGACAUAUUAGUCAAGUGGCCGCCAAGGCCAAACAGCACGAGGCUUCUUCACGUAAGACCUCACUUUGGAAUUAUUGAGUUGGUCUUUUUCUUGUAUAUAUGCUGAUGAUCGUCUGUUUCAAGUGUCUAUUUAUAGCGACAGAAAAUGAAAGAUGAGAGGCUUCGGAAUUAGAUGAUGCGCAAGUUAGAGCUAGCUUGCUUCCCUAGCCAAAGUAACUUUCUUCACUAUUAUUUUCGUGAAAGAAUAAAUUCUCUUCCUGUUUCAGGGGUGCAGAGGACCCCAACUUAUCUAGUACCUCAUGUUCGUACAGCUGAAAGAUGAUAGGAGAGCUAGCCGAAUUUCAACGUAAAAGUCCCAUUAAUUCGCACGUUUUGUUGGCAACUUGCACCGAAUCAUUGCAAUAAGUGCAAUGAAUUUCCUUUUCCAUAUCUGGUCAAUGUUCAGUAGAAUCAUUGCAAUUAGCGCAUGGCUUGAAACCUGGGACCUCUUCAAAACCCGAGCAGCCAAAUAAGAGCCGGGGGGGGGAGGGGGGGUGGGUUUUUUUGGUGUAACUUUUCUUCCUUCGGCUAGUUCACUAAGUAAUGUGUAGGAUCAAACCAUGAUAUUAUCUGCUGUCAAAUUCCCAGUCACCCAGUUAUAUAACUUCUCAAUGUCCUGGACAUAUUACUGGCACUUGCAAAGUCACACUAAAGCCUUUCUACCCAAGAAAAAGAAAACUAAAGCUUUUCUUUUUCUUUUCGCUUUUUCCACUAAAGUUCAUGUUAAGGAAGAAUUUCAGUUGAAGGAAGAAAAUUCAGCAAAGCAGUAGCGUUAACUCGGAUGGCAAAGUCGUUCAUUUUUUUAUUAUUUCGGUGAAAUGUCAGUCAUUUGUGAACUUUUGGAGUUUGGACUUUUUUUUUUUUUUUUUUGGUAAAUAAAGAUGCAUUAAAAAUAAAAUCAAGUCAACAGAGUGCAAAUUAAGGUACAGUCAUCCGUGGGGAGGAAACCCCCUUUAAGUCUUGCAAAAGUAAGGGAAGUACAAAAUUAGGACAUAAUUCAAAAAAAGUGAAGUCUUGAGUGUUGCUUCUUCCCCAGUUGGCAAGGAUGUCUGCACAUUUGUUUGCUUCUCUAUAAUUAUGGUGAAAACAUACUUUCUGGAAUGUAGUCAAUAGCUCCCUGCAAUCAAGAAUAAUAGGUGCAAGUUCAUGAGAAAUAAGAUUAUUUGACUUACACAAGGAGAAUAUAAAGGCAGAGUCCAUCUCCACUUCGAGAGAGUGGAUGUUGAGAUUUUUCGCAAGUUGUAAGCCUUCUCUAAGAGCCCAACAUUCAGCAGAAGGAACUGAACAGAAGCCUAAAUUUCUUGCAAAGCCCGCAAUCCAUAUCCCAUUUGAGUCACGAAUUAUGCCACCAGCUCCUGCCUGGUUUGUUGGUCCAGAGACUGAACCAUCAGUAUUGAGCUUGGCGAAACCUAUAGCAGGGGGGGAUCCAUCUGAUGAAUUUUUCUUGUCUAGGGGAUCUGGAGAUAUGAGAACCAGGCCCUAGUAGGUAAAAUUCAUGAGCAUGGUGAAGACAAAACUUGAUAGGAUCAUCAAUUUUGUUUUUUUGAAAGAUCUUGGCAUUGCGAGCUUGCCAGAGGCUCCAACAACCAAAGCUAAAAAUGGUUCCCCAAGGAAUAAGGUUGAAAGGGGAAGGAAUGUUGGACGAGCAUCCAUCCUUGAUCCAGGAAUAGAAAUCCGAGCUGGUUUGGAGGGAGUUUUGGGAGGGAUGGGUGAGUUUAAGCCAGAAGGAGGUUGCUUGGGGACAAGAUCUUAGUAUGUGAUUCGAAUCUUCAGAAGGAGCUUGACAAAAAGGGCAAGAGGCUUCGGAAAGAAUUGUGCGAUGUGUGAGAAGACUUUUUGAAGGGAGUCUAUCCUGGGAUGCUAGCCAAAGGAAAUGCUUGACUUUUGAGGAGGUAUUAACUUUCCAAAUCCAGCGAAAAUGGGAUGGAGCUCUAGAAUCAACUGGAAAUAAGGGAGGAUUUUUGCAAAGGUUAUAAGCAGAUUUCGAGUUGAAAACCCCAUUGCUGGAGUAAUUCCACCUAAAGAAAUCAUGGGAUGGAUUGAGCUCUUGUCUUGGUGUACCCUUGAUCUCCUUCACGAGCUGGAGAGGAAGCUGGAAGGAUAUUCUAUCAAGGUUCCAACUGGUGGGGGAGUGAAAAAGUUGAAAAACUCUUAAGUCCUCUUCCCCCUCAGUUAGAGGUCCUUGGAUCUGGCUUCUGAUAGAGCCUGAUUGAAGCCAUUUGUCUCCCCAAAAUCUGACUAAAUGCCCAUCUCUGAUAGACCAAAUUAAACCUUCAUUGAAGGUUUUGAUCCCAAUGUUGGAGUUUGGACUGUUGAAGCCUGUCGAUGCGGUUGGAUUUGCAACGUUGUGAGUUUGUUUGGACAAAGAUAAUUUGAUUUGCAAAAUUUAUUCUCACAAAUCCCAAUCACCUUUUUAUCUCACAUACAUCACAUCACAAAAAGUGCUACAGUAAAUAUCUCAAAUAAAUCAUCCAAAUAAACUCUUAUCCAAACAAACUCGUGCUUCUUUUUCUUUUUCUUUUUUCUUUACAUGCUUCGUUGAGAUUAUCAGAUAAAAUUCUCUUUAAUUUGCUUUUUUAAUUAGCUGGGUUGACUUUAGAUUAGACUAUACCCAACUUUACCCAGUGGGUCUGAACGUUCACAUAAGUGCUGCUAUGCCUGCAGUCCUUUGCAUAAAUAAAACUGACAAUACGAAUCACGUCUGUUUUCUUUUCUCUCUGCCUGCUUUAUCCACUGGAUUUUAUCCUAACUUUAGGUGGGCUUGAUUCGUAUUAGAUUGGAGCGAUAAUGAGAUGUAUUCGAUAUUCUGUACCAAUAAAGAAGGUUAUACUGCAACAAUAGACACCUCAGCUGAUCUCUCGUUUCUAUUUCCCUAAUUCAUGCUUCUAGACGUCGUUGACCUAUGGGGGCAUCCUGUCCUGUCCUGUCCAGUUAGUUUCCGGUUAAACCUCUCUGAUUCUAGCUCAAUCUUCAUGCAUUAUUAUUAAGUACGAUUGCAGCUUGGAGAAAGUUCUAUAACAAAUUCUCAGUCAUCAAGAUGAUUUUAACAAUUCACUUGAUAAAAUCAAGAAAAUUUUCUAAGAUUUUAGAUGGGGCAAAAUAGCGGUUGUAAAUGAAAUUACCAGAAGUCCUUCGGGGUUAAAAAGCAUUAGCCAAAACUUGGGGCCGGCUGCUACCAACUCCUGCCGCAGUGGAUGUGCCCUUUAUUUUGUGGUAACUGUCAGUUCUAGGAACGCUGGUCCCGCGGGCCUUGCCUCAAAUGACUCCUUCAUAUUGUUUUGAGCCGUCAUCAAUAGUUUGAUUCGCCAACCAACCCAUUAAUUGGGAUCGUUCAUGCCUGAAUUCCAGACAACCUCUAUGCCUGUCGACAUGCUUGCCAAGGUAGACGGAGAUGGAAUUCCUUCGAAGCACCGUAUCAGAAGAGUGUGACAGCAUCAUGCAGAGACAGCCGCGCCGAAAAUGCGAGUGGAACAAAUACCCAGCUUUAGCACUACUACAUGCAUUUGUCUCGAUCAAAAGAGUAGAGAUUUUACAGCAAUCCAACUCUGGUACUGAAUCUUCUAGUAUUACAAUUUUGAGUGCUUCUAUCUACCUUUCUAAUUCACAGCGUACAGAAGUAGAGCUAGUCAACUUUUAGCACUUGCUACUGAAUAGUUUCUAGGACUUUUUAGACAUUGUCAAGCAUCUGCUUAGUUGCUAUCCAGUUGGUAUUGGCACAGUUCUAUACAUUCUAGAACAAUACCGAGGCCAGAUUCAAAACCGCAAUGAUUCUUCUUCUUCUUCUUUUUUUUUUUGUUUUUUUCCUUUUUAGUGAUACACCAACGCUGUAUGUGCUAUAUACUACAUUACUAAGAACGGGCCCUGGAUUUGUCUUUGAGCAAUUCUACCACUCUUCUCAUGGAGGGCCUGUUCAUUGGAAGAGAUGAAACGCACUGAAGGGCGACGUCUAAGACCACCCUAAUCUCUUCAAGCUCAGAUGUUGAUGGUUUCAACCUUGCAUCUACAAGGUGAUCCAAAUAGUCAGCACAAAUUUUGGCACUAUCGUUGGCUAUUGGUUGUUCUGCAGAUGACAAUGCCACCUCCAUUACCCACUGUACGAUAUCUUUAUUCUCCCCAAAAGAGGGAUCGAUUGGCCGUUUACCAGUAAUCAGUUCCAACAGAACCACACCAAAGCUGUAUACAUCACUCUUCUCUGUGAUCUUCAGAGUGUAUGCAUAUUCUGCAGAAACAAGAAGACAGCAAAAGCAUGUUAGUUAGCCACCAUGGCUUCAGACUCAAAAGAUAAUCACAAUCAGGGAAAGAACAUUUUUUUUUUUUAAAUUUGAGAGAAUUAAUAUCACGAUUACAUUAAUCGGCAAUCUAGCAUUAAUUUCUAACAAUCUCCUUAAUAACUAAUAUGCACCCCGAGGGCAAAGAUGAAGUAUGUCUACUUGAUGUGUUCCUUUUCCUUUCAUUCCAAGCACAAGUAAACCUAAAAACAGCUUGAAACCUAUAAUCAGAGUAUAUAACUGGUCUUGCUCCCUUCAGUAGAAGUUCAUGUCCAGCGAAGGAAAGCUAAUAACAACAAAAUGGCAUUCGAUAAAUAUAGUUCAACAUACAUUUUUACAAUAAAUAAAUAAAUGGUUUUUAACCCAGUCACUCUAACUGGAUGGAGUUGAAGCCUUCAAGACAAAAGAAAGGAGGUUUGAGAUAAACACACCAAAUACAAACUUGACUAAACCCCGGUCAAACUAAGCUCAGUGUCGCUACUAAUUCAACUAAAAUCAACUUUCUUUCAGCAAGAAUUGGUUCAAAGCCAAUUCAUAUCUUCCACUUCAAAACAAUGGGCUAAAGUUGCUAGAAUAAGACUAUCUUCCCACCAAUCUUAGUCAUAGACUAGUUCCCUCAUGCGAUUUUCCAACUGGAGCAAUUGUUUAUGUGUAAUCACGAUUACGGGUGAAUAGAGAAUUUUUAAUCUUUGUUUUUGUAGUAUACAAUUGUAUCUUACUAUUUGUUGUCCUUGGAACAGAAACUAGAUAUCUCCAAGCUCCUGUGUCUCUUUUUUUGGUCUUGCAGUCAAAUUCGCUUUUGGCCACAGACAAGUACAUGCAACCUGAUUUGAAGCGAUGUCGCAACAAAGACAAAGUGACAAAACCAUCCGUAAACAUGAGGCAACUCUCAAUUCCAAUCAAAUGGAGAACUCAAAGCCUAAAACUAGUCAAAUUAAGAACUGAGAGCCUAACACCAUAUGCCGCUUGCUUGCUGGAACAAAAUCAAGAAUAGCCAUCCCCACUCUACACCCAUAAUACCCUAAUAAAAACAUAAUUGCUGCAGGGGAAACUAAAAAGAAUUACAUUAAGCCAAAUCUAUCAUAUUAAUGAAUGAAACAAUUGAUAAUUACUACAAAUAAAAGGCCAUAAUAUAGACAGAAAAGUUAUGCCUCACCUGGAGCAAUAUAGCCGUAGGAGCCAGCAAUCUGAGACAUGAGUUGGCCACCCUCCUCCAUAUUUUUAUGCAGAGUUUUUGCCAAACCAAAAUCAGCGACCUUUGGCCUGAAUUCCUCAUCCAACAAUAUGUUGUUAGACUUCACAUCCCUAUGAACAAUUGCGGGUACGCAAUCAUGGUGCAAAUAGGCCAGUCCUUGAGCAGCCCCAAUUGCAAUCUUGAACCUCGUAUGCCAAUCCAACAAUACCCCACCUUUCUCUCCGUGUAGUACAUCCCCCAAGCUCCCAUUCUCCAUGUAAUCGUACACUAAUAUCCUAAAGUUGUCUCCAGAGCAACUGAACAACAACUUCACUAUGCAACCAUGCUUGAUUCUGCCCAAAGUCUCCACCUCUGAUUGGAACACCUCUUCAGAUUCUGGUCCACGGUUAGCAUCCCAGAGUCUCUUGACCGCGACUGUCGGCCCGUUCUUCAACAUGACACGAUAAACUUGGCCCGACCCGCCUGUUGCAAUGAGAUUAUCUUGACUCAGAAAGGCAACAAUAUCUUCCUCGUUGAACCACAGUCGCUGAAAUGCAGUCAUUUUCCAUGAUUUUUUGCCCCGACCUGCAAAUAAAUUUAGCUUCUUUGACUUGAUCAAUAGCCAUAGAAAUGAUACGACGAGUAUUCCUGACAAGGCUGAUAAAAUUCCCACCAAAACCAAGCUUAUGGGUCUUCUUUUCUGGCAUGAAGGGAGAGGUUUAAGAUCAGGACUGCACAAAUCCGAAUUGCCCACUAAGCUUGAAAUGAAAAUUUCAUUGUCGAAUGCACUAGGUACUCUGCCCUGAAGCCUAUUAUUUGAUAAAUUGAACUUAUUGAGCUUGAGUUUUGACAAAUCCGAAGGAAUCUCACCAGAAAGUAAAUUCUCGGAAAGAUCUAAGUAUGUCAAAUCAGGCAACUCCCCGAGCUCAGCUGGAAUUGUACCAGAAAAUUGAUUGCCAGAUAAGUUCAAUUCUGUUAAAUCAGUCCAAGUGGUAACAGAGGUCGGGAUUUCACCUGUGAUUGAGUUUUCUUGGACAUCAAGCUUGAGUAACUUGUUCAAUUUGGUUAUGCACGAGGGCAGUUUGCCUGAGAACCGGUUGCUGCUAAUGUCUAUAAUUUGAAGCUGUUCCAACUCGCAUAUUCCCUCCGGCAACUGACCAGAAAAGCUGUUGCCCGAUAUCAAAAAUCCUGUUAGAUUACGGGCAUUUGAAACCGUAGGAGGAAUUUCACCCUCUAGUCUAUUGUUUCGGAGUUCAAAAAUCGUAAGCCCAGGAAAACUCCAGAAACUAGGAGGUACAACUCCAGACAGCUCAUAACUGGAAAUCCGGACGUACGUUAACGAACUGCACUCACCAUACGACUCAGGGAUUGGACCAGAAAAGUUAUUGUUAAACAAAACUAAUCUGUCUAGCUGCUUCUUGAAACAAAGAUUUGGAGGCAAAGGCCCUUCUAGAAAAUUCCCAGAUACAUCAAAAUCUUCCAAGCCUGAAUUCCUUCCCAAAUUAACCGGUAAAUUGCCGGAUAAUCUGUUAUUAAAGAGCUUGAGCUGAUAAAGAUAAGGAUUUAGAGCUAAAUUUUCUGGGAUUUGGCCUUCCAAAUUGUUGUCAUUGAGAUUGAAGGAUUGCAGAGCUAAACCGGUUAGACUUUCUGGUAUUCUUCCGGUGAGAUUGUUCGAUGAAGCAUCGAAAUUAUAUAAAGAAGUCAGGUUCGAAAAUGUAUCUGGAAUUUCACCGGAGAGUUGGUUUGCAUAGAGCUCUAUCUGUUCGACAGCAAUUAGUCCUCCGAUACUUUCUGGGAUCUUUCCAGUGAGGUUGUUGACGGAGAGGUCGAGGUUUUUAAGAGAUUUGAGGUUUCCAAUUGAUUCUGGGAUUGAACCAAUUAUUUUUGAAAAUGGAAACCAGAGAUUUUCGAGUUUGGUGAGGCGGCCUAUGUCGGCCGGAAGUGGGCUUGGGCCGAAAUUGUUGGCAGCGAUUUCUAGACGAGUUAACUCGGUGAGAUUGGUUAAGAAAUCCGGGAUAGACCCGUUGAGUAAGUUGGAGAGAAGACGGAGAACCUGAAGGUUGGGUAAGCGGGAACCGUAACUCGCCGGAAUCUCACCGGAGAAAUUGUUAACUGACAGGUCGAAGGUGGUGAGGUUGAGGAACAGAGUUUGAAGCUCCGGCAGCCCGCCAACGAACAAGUUGGAGGACAGAUUGAGGAAUUGCAGGUGGGAGCAGAGAGUGAGCGCUUCAGGUGAGAGGGUUCCGUUGAAGUUGUUAUCGGAAAGGUCCAGAAAGCGGAGAGUCUGAAUCCGGCAAAAGUCCGCCGGAAAAUAGCCUGAGAUGCUGAAGCUGGUGAGAUUAACGGAAACGACAUCGUUAGUUUGGUUGUCACAACCAAUGCCAGUCCAGUUGCAGGGAGCAUUGGGUGCGGACUGCUGCCAAUCAGCGAGCAGACCACUGGGGUCUUGCAGUUCAUUGGCCUUGACUCGAAGCAAAACGACGACGUCCCUGUUCGAUGAACUGGUACCAGGAAUUAUCAGAGCAAUGCAGAAAAGCAGUUUGAUGAGAUAGAGAUAGAGGGGCAGAGGUCUGCAGUUAAAGCAAAAGCACAUAGUACCGGCCAUUUUCUUCUGUUAAUUAAACUACCACCCCGCAAACCGCAACUACUAGAAUGUAUAAUGCAAUCUAUCUAAAGAAAAUUGAGUUUGAGGAAAUGAUGGGCUAAUUCGAUGAUGAAAUCGUGAAAAUGAGAAUUAUUCAUGAUUUGUAUUUAGCCAUUGGAUUUGAAAGACAGCAGCAGGCAACUGGCAAGUAGUGCAUGGCCAUGGACAGAGUAACAAGUGCAGGCAGAUUGGGAGAACCGCUGGAAGGGGGUGGAGGUAGCGAGCUAAUUAGUCUACUCAUUCUUGACUUAGGAUUCUUAAUUUAUGGUGAAUCUUGAUAGACUAAGGUCAAAAUAUCUUGAUAGACUACAUCGAUACUAUUAAUGUAUUCUGUUCACAUGUGAAGGGCUGGUCAUAGAUGGCAUUUAGUGUACUAAAAAUUUCCAUGUGGAGAUGAGAAAGUUAGCAAUAAUAUGAUAAAAUCGACAAUGAUUGUCAAAGUAGUUUCCAACGAGUCGACUCCGGUCGAAUUUUCAUUUAAUUGAAUUGAGUCUCGGUUUCAUUUUAUCAAAUUCGAUUAGAAUUUAGUGUAAAACUUGAGCUCGACGUCAAAUUUGCUUGAACUAGUUUGCAGGAUUCACAAUAAUUAUCUUUUUUUUUUUUUUGGAAGCAAAUGAUUGUCAAAGAUUGGUGGGAGUGAAUUAGGCGGAUUAAAACUGAAAGGUAAGGAAGUGAAUUUUUCCAGAAACUCACUAUUCAUUAUUUGGUCAUAGACGGAAGAUUGAUGGUUUUAUAUGCUUUUGUAGAUAGUGUAGAACAUAAGAGGGGCAUACCAAAGAGGGAAUACCAUAUUACUUGUUUGGGGUGGAUAUUAACCACUGAGCCAACCUCAGUGGCCACCAAAGUGGGAAAAAAUCUCAUCUGUUUGGGUUAUAAGUGGGGUUCAAAUCACACCUGCAAUUAAAAAAAAUCAAAAGUGGUGUCAAAUCACCCUUUUAGUCUAGUCUCUAACACAAGCCUAUUUAGAUUCUCCUGAAAAAAAAAAAUUUAGGAUGGAUAUCAUUAUUAUAUUUAGAUCAUCCAUGAACCAUGGCUCCGUUUGAUAAAUGAGUAUUUGGAUAUUUGUCUAAAAUUUUACCUUCUUGUAGUAGUUGUAGGAAAAAUUUGUAAGAUGAAAUUUUUUUUUUUCAUUUUCUCUCUCUCCCUCUUCCCCCCUUCCCAUGCCACUAUCCCCCUUCCCCCGACGCGAUCUGAUCUCACGACCAGAUUGAGCAAAGGGGGAUAGAGAGGGAGAGGGGAGGAGGAAGAUAGUGGGGGAGGAAGAGGGGUAGAGAUAGGUGGCAGAGGAGAGGAACGGAGAGGGUGAGAGAGGAGGAGAGGGGGAGGGAUGAGAGGGAGGGAAGAGGAGAGAAAAAGAAAAAAAGGUGGUCGUCUGGCCGGCGUCAAAGGUGGUGGUCGGUUGAGGUGGAAGAAAGAAGAAAAAAAAAUUUUAUGUGUUUUGAAUAUUUUGAAUUGUAUAGUUUAAAAUUUUUGAGAAAUUUUUUGAGAUUAUUGUAAUUAAAAUUAUUAAAAAAUUGAUGUGAGACAAAUUUAGCAAAAACUCACUUUGCCAAUCAGGCCCGUAUUUCACCACGUAACGAUGAUGAUUUCCUUCUCAAUGAUUUACUUGUAUUAUCUUCUGUCUUAGAAAGUCUUAUCCUUUUGCUACUGGUUGGCUACCUUUCACAACCACUGUCGUUGUGCGUACAGGGAUUACUCGUGUAUUGAGUGUGAUGCCUUUGGAGUCUUCGCCCAUGCCUGAAAAACAAACGAGUAAAGCAGUCAAAAAGGUUCUCAAGAGGUCAUACAAUGCAGUUGGCCGAAAUUGGUGACCAAUAUAUAAAUGCAAGGGUCCAUCAUUUCUUUUCACUUGAUUUGUAUUUUUCUUCGGAGGGUCCAUCAACUCUAUGAUUUUUUUUUUCUGAGGUGCCUAUCAACUCAAUGAUCUCAAUUCAAGACAAAAGGAUAAGUUAACAAUAAUCGAAGACUCGGGGAUUUGAAGGUAUGCGAGUGUGGAAUUAUUCCAGAAGCAAAGAUAAUAAAUACAUGGCUAAUUAUUUUAGUGCGGAGGGUCAAAAAAAAUGAGUACCAAAAAAAUCUACAAGUUGGUGAAAGCAAAAGGGGUGCAAAUGGAUGUUGUUGCAAGCAAAAGGUGUUUGCAACCCUUAAUCAUGAGAUUUCGAAUUCAAAAUUUAUGAGAAUGAAAAGGAUAACGUUGAGAAAAUUUCUCCUGCAAGAGACUCGACUCGGGUCGAACAAAAUUAAUCACAGUACAUGAUUAAUACCUGUGAAUUAUAAAAAAAAAAAAAAAAAAUCUACAAAUCCCAAUAGUAAGGGCGCGGCGAAUGGAAACUCAUUUUCUACAUUGCUGAAUUUAACACCAGUGUGGGACACUAAAUUCAUAGUCGAAUCUUUGACUGUGAGCUGUAAACUAUGAAGGACAGCUUCUAGGAAUUGAAUUGUGUUCGAAAUUUGGGAAAAAAGAUGUACAGUCGCUUCAAUUCGAAGCAAAGUAGUAGUCAGCAAGCAGCAGUCCAGCCACUAGUGGAAAAUCGUAUCGUAUUGUAUCACUUUUUCUCUGGGAAUGUUUACAUGAAAGAAUUGAUGCGUGCGCAAGGAUUGGAAUUUAUUAAGAUGGAAGAGACCGUGCGAAGGAAGCAUAGAAUAUAAAAGUUCGGCUUAGUUGGUUCUCGUUCUGUUUCUUUUUGGUAGUUGUGGGAUUCUUUUAGCAAGUUUCUGAGAUUCUAAGUGGAUUGGUUGGAUGCCGGUUCUAGAACUAAUAGAUUUACCCCUCAGUUUUAGUUAGAUAACUUGUACUCAGCCGAAUGUUCUUUCAAUGGGAAAAAAAAAAAAAAAAAAAAAAACAAUUCAGGUUUGAUAUUACUAGUAAAUUAAAAGUGCUUCGUAGCCUUGACCAGGGAAGAGCUAAUAGUGGCUCCCUCAUAGUAAAAUUUCUCUAAGCAACUCAAAUUUUGGUGUUUGGAGGCUUGGAAAGAAAUUUUCAACAGAUUACAGAAUAUGAUAGGACAUCCCUUAUAGAGUGGUACUAUAUAAAUUUUUUCUUGCCCUCUCGUUUAGAAAUAUGCAGAUGCUUAAGACGGUACUUUGCAGUCAAGAAACAAUAGAAAACAAUUAUAGUUAUAAUUGGCUUUAUUAAAACUAAGUAUUACUACUACUUUAUUUUGUUUUGCUGUCCUCGUGCUUUCCCAUUUUGCUUUUGCUUUUUCCCUUCUCUUCUUUAGCUCCGUCAAUGUUGUAGGGUCCCAUAAUUAUGGCUGUUCCAUAAUAGCGUACUCAGAAGUCAAAAUUCUGUUCAUACAAAUGGGAAAUGCUAGGACCGCAAAUUUGAAAUUAAAAGGAUCAGCCAAUCACAAUUGCCAAGUGCCUCGAGGCUGGGGACUACUUGCUUGACGUUUUGUCAUGAUAGUAUAAAACUGAACCACUGAGCUUUUGGCUGUAAAACCACCGGGGUAAGGGCUCAGCGGUGAUCGGAGAGGGGCUUAAGUUCCUUUUUAGGUUAUAGGUAAAGGUUCAAAUUUCAAUUGUAGUGAAAAAAAUUUAAGGGUGUGUCAGAGCAUUUUCUUGAUUUAGUUGAGUCUAUAUACUCACUAGUCUCCUAUCACAGCCUCCGUAGGCUUCCCUUCUCCCCUAGAUUAGAAUAAAAAAAAAAAAAAAAAAAGAGCUUUUGGCUGUAAGCGCCAAAACUGCUUUUGGUUGUAAGUCGGUUCGAACUUCACCGGCGGUGAAAAAAUAUACCUGUUAGUCUCUUAUACAAUCUCUUUAGGCUUUCCUUCUCUGUAAAAUAGAAUAGAUUAAAUUAUAUAAUGUUAUUGUUGCUAUAAAAACAUAAUAUAAAACUGUAUCCUUCAAAAAGUAUCAUGCAAAAGAAAGAUGAUGACAGUACAUGUCAUGCUCGUCUAUAGAUCAACAACUAAUUUUAACUUUUAUUAUUUUCUCUUUUUUUUGGUUCCCCCCCCUCCCCCCCUUUUUUUCUUUUUUCUAAUUACUAGUGACCAAUUUUAUAUCUGAGAUAGUGGUACAGAGUAAACUUUAAGGGUAUUGGCUAGGAUUUUUCGAUGCCUAGCUUUCUAGCAGUACUCAGAGAUUUCAUUCACCGUAUGCCAGUGGAUAACUUCUCAGUCUCCAUUCAAGCAUGUAGUAUAUCUUGUUCUCUCCCUUUGUUUGACUUGAUUUAAAUUGAAACAAAAUUAUUAGGAAGUCCAAUUCAAAGACCAAUUAAUGCUUCGAUAACGUCGCCCGCUGAUGCUAACAUAUGUUCAGUUUCUGGAAAAUGAAUAGAGUACCCAGCUCCAAUAAACUAUUUGAAUGGCUGGUUGGUAAAUUUUCUUAAAUUCACCCUACGCCCGAAAGAGAUAUGCGCAGGGAGGAACGUUGUUUGGACUCGUACAACUUUCAAGCAGUCUUCUUCAACACUUGAGUCAGUACUGAAAUAUGACAAAGAAUAAUUGAAAUUCAAAAAGAUGACAAUAAUUAGAAAAGCGUAGAAUGAAUAAACUAAACUUGGUGCUCAUAUAUAUAUAUUUUUUAAGUAGUUAAAGUAGAGAAUUUAGAGGACUUCUUGCCAAGUUUGCUUACUAAAACUUCACGGCCUUGGCCCGGACCAAAAUACAAGGGUCCAACGGGCUUGAAGCAUUGCUUUCCCCGAGAGAGAGAGAGAGAGGGGGCUAAGAACGGGCUGCUUCGCUGCAACGGCAACGCGUGUCUGUUAUAAAGGUUACAUUUUGUAUAAAAUCCGCGCGGGACAGUUUUUUGUUUUUUUUAAAAUUUAUUUUAUGUGGCGGAAUGCACAAACUAACUGGGCCGGGGUGCAAGAGCCAAGAUGGAAUAUCACGAAUACUGGAGAUGGAUAGCUUCGGGUUUCUGUGUUCUGCGAGAAUUUGAUAAACAAAUUUAAGAAGAAGCUGUCUGCAGGGUGAGGAACGGACAAAGCAACUCAAAGUCAACGUCGCCGUGAAGCAAAAGUUGUUCUACUAAAAGAACCCGACCGACAAUCUUCCGCGUACUAAUUUUGCGCUUUUCAGCUCCGCCCCAACAAUAACAUGCGUUCUAAAUUCUAAUCUACUACUCCCAGUCCCAGUAGUGAUUGAUGCUCAGCACCAGUUUUUGUUAUCUUUCUAAACAUGGAUAGACCGUCCAAGUAACUCGAAAAACCUGAUCCUCUCUCUUGUAACGUAAUCAAUGGCUUCUUGAUGAAUUUACUGAUACUUUGAAGAAGCGUGGGAAUCUGUAUAUAUAUAAUGAGGAGUUUGAUCAAAUGUUCUUCAUUCGAAAAAACAUCAGGACUGACGUUCUUUCGAGUGUAUAAGAUGGUGCGGUUAGGCAAGAGAACACGUUCAGUUCAGAUGGUCAAAAGUGUUUGGUGCAGUGGGUGAAGGUAAAUCUUGAUUAGCACGAACUUCAAUAAUGAAAUGAUCAACCGCACCUGAUUCAUUUUUGUGUGUGAGGUGGUUUAGUUUGGAAUUCAAUUUGGAACCACACAGUAUCACACGCUUUUACGCUCAGCACUAGUCACGCAAACAAGAUGAUGAUGCAUCAGUUUUAUAACUCAUACGCGAUGAUCAUGGAUCUCCUAUAUUUGUGUUUGCAAAAGGAUUGGAAAUUUAAUAAUAGCAUCAAUGGAACAAAUGAUGGGUUAGGUCUGACGGCGAUUGGCGGGUGAGAGAAAGGGUUGGUCGUUCCUUGAACAAUUGUUUAAAAGGAUAUGUAUCAUCAGAUCUGAUUGAUGAGUCAUACUAAGACAAUUCGCGGUUCGGUUAAGUAUGAAUUUUUGCUAAUUUAGGGAUAAAAAAUUGAUCCGUCUUAAGAAUGAGUUUAUGGGCCAAUAAAUAAAGGACUUUUUAUUCUCUUCGAAACCCAUUGCAUGCUCUUACAAUCAUAUGAUUUUAUUAUCUAAUUUUGCAGAAUUCAAUACUGGUUUUAAAGUUUGCAAAAUUAUAAUUAAAUCAAUUCUGUAGAUGUAAGUACAUAAUAUAUAUAAACUAAGAGAUACUUUAUACUUCAUGAAUUUAGUUUGAUGAUUUUGGUUUUAAAAUUUUUAGCCAAAACAGAAAAUAAAUUCUUGGAAUACUUGAUAAUUUUUAUCUGUUAGCAUAUACAUGCUAGAAAUUAAAUAUUAAUGUGAAAGAGCUUUACUCUUCUUUUUUUUUUUUUUUUGGUAAGAAUUGAUUUCAAUUUUGUUUGCAUUAUUUUCAUGAAUAUAUAAAAUUUAAGUACAUAAAAUAUUGAUUUUUUAUAUCAUAACUUUCAAAACGAUUCAAGGAGGGAUACCAAUCUUAAGAAUGUUGUUUCUAGCAUAUAAUGCUAGAAAAUAUUAUUGAGAUUGAGGACGACAAAAUCACCAGAAUUUGUGCUCAGAAAUUUAAGUCGGGCAUGGUCCGGUAGUAGGAAAAUGCGCAGUCGCCACUGGUCAAAUCCAUACCCCAAUUCAAAGCGUCUGGGCAGCUUCUUAAUUUUUGGGCCCAUAUUAAGCUAACCGCAAAAUUUUUUUAAAAAAAUUAUUAUAAAGACGAGAGAACACGACGCGAUGUUAUUAUAAGCAAGACUCCAAGGAUCUGACAUCUGCUCCACAUGCCGUUGCAGCACCGUCACUGAUCGCCUGUCGUCUGCUACUAAAAAUGCAUGUUGUGGUAACAUCUCUUUUCUGUUUCUUUUUCUGGGUUACUCAAGUAGGUGUAAUCUUUUCUCAUUAUGUGGUAUAGAUCCCUGACUCUCUCAGAAAAACUGGCGGGUGUAAUGAUGGCCCGACCUAUCAUCAUAGUAUGACCAAGAACUAUGGUCUAAACCGAUGUGGGGAAAAUAUAGGAUUAGUUGAACUGAAACCGACCUAGUUAAGCUUCUAAUCUAGCAUUUGAUGAAAGGACGACAGUUAUGCUUCAGAAACUAGUCCUGUUUAAAACAAUUCUCCUCACAACAACCAUGACAUUUACAACAUUCCGUUUCCACCUGACAUGUCCUCCAUUCCUUGCCUUGGAAAUGCAGAAAGCCAAAGCUAGCAGGGCUGGCAGCAGGAAAAAGUUCCAAAUUGAAUGGUCUCGGCCACAUUAUUUGACAUUUGUCUCUAAUGAUGCUAACUACUUAAAGAACCAAUAAUUGAUCUUCCCUGCCCUGGACUUGUUUUCCACAUUCAACAAAUUAUCGGAAUCUAUUCAGCAAAGCAUUUGAUCAUGCUGCUUUUUUCUUCUUUUUUUUUUCUUUUUUCUUUUUAAGGAAACAGACUCAUGCAAUGGGAUCAAAGGAAAAUUUUGUCGUGUCGUUGACCUAAGAGUAAUUAUGAGGUUCUUAUCUAAAGUUACUUCGUGAAUGUUGCACCCGUAUUCCUACCACUCCACCACUUAAGACUGCAGUUGAAGCUUGAGAAUAUACAGAUCAUGAAGCAACACAUACAAUGUAAUACACUUUUCUUGGUUUAGAAUGCGAACAGGCAGUGAUGGAUUAAUAUUUAUUAGUCGCUAUUUCCUAAUAAACAUGGGAGACAUAAGUUUGUGAUGACAGCAUUUUAGUCGACACCGGAAACGACAUCAGUGAACAUUUUUCCUAAGCAUGCCAUUAUAGUGGCGUUUGACCCACAUAGAUCUGGUGCAUAUUAGCUUUUAGAUUUUUUUUCCUAUUUGAGUUGCAUGUUUAAUGUAAAAGGUUAAAGAUUGUCGCGUGCCCCGGAUUAAGUUGAACCAGACGCGGGUUGGCCAAAAAUCUGCGGAAGAAUAGCUUCGAAUUUGUUAUGAACUAGCAAAACACGAAAUUAAUUUGCAUGUUUGUUCUGUCCCAGGGUAGAUAAAGAACACCACCUCAUUACUUGCUAUUAUAUAUUAUUGGCUUCGGUAAAGGUACUGGGUCUUGGUAUUCCGAGUGAUGACACGGGAAAUAAUCUGAGAAGUUCAACACAAGUACAUGAACACGCAGGAAAACUUUUACUUCGCAAAUGUAUAAAACCUUUGAAAGAAGUUCUUAAUACAUGUCUCGUCAUGUCUUAAGAACUUGCAUUUCUUUAUAUGCUAACUCUAGCUUAUAGCAAGUAAACUCUUAUAUCUGAAUCUUUCGAAGACAAAAUGUUGAUAUGCAAAACAAAAUUGCAAACUUCUUGAUGAAUGUGAUAUGGAGCAUGAAGAGAAAGAGGAUUUCACAAGCAAUCAUGAAUUUCGAUAAACAUUAACAAUUAAACAAAUUUUUGCCCCACGAUCUCCUUGCAGUAAUAGAGAAAAGCCCUGAAACCAGCGCAUGGCCUAACGGAAGAAUGGAAAAAGUAUUUCUAAUAAGCUCAGAAAAAAAAAAAAAGAAAGAAAGAAAGAAUAAAAGGUUGUCAAGUACUCCCAUGUCAAUCUUAUAACACGGCAUUUCCAGAUUUCCCGAUUAAGUGGGAAAAAAAAUGGAUGACAAAAGCUAAUACCUAUCUUUGUAUAGAAUUAGAUGCUUAAACGUUCAGCGGGAAAAUAACAAUACUACUAAACUAAAAACAUAUGCGACGGCAAAAAGUAGAAUGCACAGGCCAUAUAACCGAAUUAAGAUGAAGGUGAUAUUUCUCUUUUCAAUUUUCCUUUUUGUCAGAGUAAACGGUAAGCUUUGAGGUUGCUGUUCUACAACUGUAUUUUCGAUCUUUUAUUGUCAGUGUCCUCGCCCUGUCACGAUACGUAUCAUGAAAAUCACAAGCAGAAAAGCAAACAUUAAAAGAUUGGCAGUUAAAAGCAAACCCUAUACAUAAUUACAUACUAAAAUGGCAGAUUCAGAACCAAAAGUCUACGAAAUAAAAUUCCAUUAAUAUAAUAUGCCAGAAAAACAAGUAAGAAUACCGUAUAUAGUGUUGAUAUUCUUAUAGGAGUCUAUCUUUGUAGGAAUAUCCACUACUCAGUACGAUCUGUUGCAUAACCAAUGAUCGAAAAUAUCAUGAUACUCACACAAAGCAAAGACUCUCAAGAACGUUAAUUUUCUUUGAACUUAAAAAAACUAAAUGGAACUAGGGGAGUAAUAUAUAUGUGCAUCUGAUCAAUAAAAUAAAAUGACGAUCACAUAAAGGAAGUAAGAGAGUAUUGUUAAGUAAAUUAAUUAAGAAAAGAAACCCAAAACAGUAUUGCCUGGCUCCGUUCUGUCUGCCUCUUUCUUUAGCUUGGGAGGUUGCAGAGGCCUUAUAACAACAAAGAGCCCCCUACUAGAACUGAUGAAGAACCCUUCUUGGACUUGUUGAUGAGUUUUCCCCACCAACUUGAACGUCCUCGACCACCAGAAGAGAACUUUGCUAAACGUUUUAGUGGUAGUACUACCAGUUGUAAAUCCUUCUUUUUCUUGAACCAGUGCAACAAGUUGGCUUCUGGGAUUAGUAAUAAUAUUAGAAGUAAACAAGUAAAUGGUUGUGAAGCGAAAUUUUCAUCUUCUUCAACCAUCUUUGCAUAAUUAUUUAAAAUGCAACCACCAACCACCCUCCCUCUUCUUCUUCUUCUUCUUCUUCUUCUUCUUCUUCUUCUACUGUUACACAAACCCCUCUUUUCUUAUUUCUGUUUGUGGCCAACAGCGGGAUUUGAUAUACAUCACGCAAAAGGAUACAUAUGUGUAUCCUUGGAGAAAGAAGAGAGAGAAAUGGAGAGUUGAGACUUGAGAGUAGAGAGGGGAAGCUAUGGGAUGGUGAAAAAGAGAGUGGCUGAGAGCUGAAGGAGGGAGGGCAGAGAGAAGGGAGGGUUCUUAAAAGAAGGGUCCCAGCCCCGGAAGAGGAAUAGACAUUCUGUCCAUGCGACUUGUUCUAUUU